rnacentral:rRNA from 1 species
CCUACGGGAGGCAGCAGUGAGGAAUAUUGGUCAAUGGACGAGAGUCUGAACCAGCCAAGUAGCGUGAAGGAUGACUGCCCUAUGGGUUGUAAACUUCUUUUAUAAAGGAAUAAAACGAGGCACGUGUGCCUUUUUGCAUGUACUUUAUGAAUAAGGAUCGGCUAACUCCGUGCCAGCAGCCGCGGUAAUACGGAGGAUCCGAGCGUUAUCCGGAUUUAUUGGGUUUAAAGGGAGCGUAGAUGGGUUGUUAAGUCAGUUGUGAAAGUUUGCGGCUCAACCGUAAAAUUGCAAUUGAUACUGGCAGUCGUGAGGACAGUUGAGGUAGGCGGAAUUCGUGGUGUAGCGGUGAAAUGCUUAGAUAUCACGAAGAACCCCGAUUGCGAAGGCAGCUUACUAAACUGUGACUGACAUUGAUGCUCGAAAGUGUGGGUAUCAAACAGGAUUAGAUACCCGGGUAGUC